rnacentral:rRNA from 1 species
GGGUCAGUAGGUUGGUCGUGCCACCGGUACGUACUGGUCUCACUGAUUCCUCCUUCCUGAAGAACCGUAAUGCCAUUAAUUUGGUGUUGCGGGGAAUCAGGACUGUUACUUUGAAAAAAUUAGAGUGUUUAAAGCAAGCUAACGCUUGAAUACAUUAGCAUGGAAUAAUGAAAUAGGACGAUCGAUCCUAUUUUCUUGGUUUCUAGGAUUGACGUA